rnacentral:tRNA from 1 species
GGCCCGAUAGUCAAGCGGUUAAGACACCGCCCUUUCACGGCGGCAGCACGGGUUCAAAUCCCGUUCGGGUCA